GGCGGAUGUAGCCAAGUGGAUCAAGGCAGUGGAUUGUGAU
rnacentral:tRNA from 1 species